GACGAACGCUGGCGGCGUGCUUAACACAUGCAAGUCGAACGGAAAGUCCCUGCUUUUGUGGGGUGCUCGAGUGGCGCACGGGUGAGUAACACGUGAGUAACCUGCCCUUGACUUUGGGAUAACUUCAGGAAACUGGGGCUAAUACCGGAUAGGAGCUCCUGCUGCAUGGUGGGGGUUGGAAAGUUACGGCGGUUGGGGAUGGACUCGCGGCUUAUCAGCUUGUUGGUGGGGUAGUGGCUUACCAAGGCUUUUACGGGUAGCCGGCCUGAGGGGGUGACCGGCCACAUUGGGACUGAGAUACGGCCCAGACUCCUACGGGAGGAAGCAGUGGGGAAUAUUGCACAAUGGGCCGAAGCCUGAUGCAGCAACGCCGCGUGCGGGAUGACGGCCUGCGGGUUGUAAACCGCUUUCGCCUGUGACGAAGAGUGAGUGACGGUAAUGGGUAAAGAAGCACCGGCUAACUACGUG
rnacentral:rRNA from 1 species